ACUUCUGAAAGUGACCUGCCAGCGCCCCCAAGAAAGGGAGCGUGAUAUUCUUGAGACUGUGAAGCAUAAUGCCUAUGCUGAGGACAAAUAUGCGAAGGAGUUUGGCAUUAAGAUUAGCGACAAGUUGGCACAAGUUGAGGCUCGUAUUUUGCCUCCACCUUGGCUUAAAUAUCACGAUAAUGGCCGAGAAAAAGAUUGUCUGCCACAAGUUGGCCAAUGGAACA
rnacentral:misc_RNA from 1 species